rnacentral:rRNA from 1 species
AGUGAACGUUGGCGGUAGGCCUAACACAUGCAAGUCGAACGGCAGCACAGUAAGAGCUUGCUCUUACGGGUGGCGAGUGGCGGACGGGUGAGGAAUACAUCGGAAUCUACUUUUUCGUGGGGGAUAACGUAGGGAAACUUACGCUAAUACCGCAUACGACCUACGGGUGAAAGCAGGGAUCUUCGGACCUUGCGCGAUUGAAUGAGCCGAUGUCGGAUUAGCUAGUUGGCGGGGUAAAGGCCCACCAAGGCGACGAUCCGUAGCUGGUCUGAGAGGAUGAUCAGCCACACUGGAACUGAGACACGGUCCAGACUCCUACGGGAGGCAGCAGUGGGGAAUAUUGGACAAUGGGCGCAAGCCUGAUCCAGCCAUACCGCGUGGGUGAAGAAGGCCUUCGGGUUGUAAAGCCCUUUUGUUGGGAAAGAAAAGCAGCAGGUUAAUACCCCGCUGUUCUGACGGUACCCAAAGAAUAAGCACCGGCUAACUUCGUG